UUUCCAAAACAAUAAAGCCAACGUUUCGCUGUUAAAAAUCACGCAGACAAGAGGUAAUGAGAAACUUGUUGCAGAAACCAGGGACGAGUAGAAAAGUGAAAAUGAACAAAGAAAAACGGAGCAUCACAGAUUCUGAUUCCCCUACGAGAAAGGUCUCAACAUUCAGAGUUUGUGGAGCCAAUCAGCACACUCAGAUUCAUCUUCUGGAAUGACGUCAAGUGGGAUUCUCCUGGAAGUAAGCCAAAGCAGCUUUCAAAAACAGGAUGAAUAAAUACAUAUGUUACUUUGACUGAACACGAUUUCCAGGAAGUACCACAUCCAACCAAUGACAGGAUCCCCUCCUCCCCAAGCAGGGUCGCCACCGUCCUGCAGUUCUUGACAGCGCCAGGACCCACUUCCUUGUUCUCAUGCUGCUGCUGCUUCUCCACCGGCGCCAACUCCUCUUGCGAGUCCUUAUUCGUUCUUUUGAGUUCAGAUGGCGGGCUUGUGAUGAGAGAGGCGACGCUGGCGACCUGAGCAGCUUUGAUAUAUCCCCCCUCUAUCGCCGUCCUACUCGUUCCACAGCUCCCUUUUCUCUCAACAAGGAGACUCACUUGCAAGUAAAGCCGAAUUGUCAUUAAAUAUACCUGCAUUUAACACAAUGCGCCUCACAGUAUCUUAUUUUUUACUUUAUUUUAUUAAUGUAACGUAUAAUACAUGUUUUUGGAUAGUUAUUUUGAGAUUCAGGGGGUUUAUAGGGGUACUUAAAGGGUUAAUGCCGAUUUACGCUGAAAUUCGGGUUACAUCGCCAGUGUAGGAACGGAACUGGUUCGUAACCCGGGGACUAUCUACAUAUAUACUUUCAUUAAAGAUGUAAUUUUUUUAUCAUUGCUUUAAUUAUUAUUUAUUAAAUAAAAAUGUCAAAACAAUGAAAUGUGAAAUGGGUUUCACUAGUCAAUCCACCUCAGAGUGCCACAUUUUGAGUUAAAAAAUGAAAGUUACGAUUUGUCUGAACGUGGAUUUCACCCAGAUCCUCCCUGUCCUUCUGCCCGAAAAUAGUGAGCUUCGGGCGGCUGCGAGGGAAACGCGAAGUGCCUGAGGCCUCCAUGCUGGAGGUUUUUGUGGUGCUCAAAAACGUUGUCAUUUUUCAUUCCACAAGAUCAUUCAGAGUUUAUCUAUGUACUGCAGCUCAAUAAAUGAAAAAAAUGCCAAUGGUUAUGGUCAUCGCCAGGGUCGUGCAGAGACCGAUGGAGGGGGAGGUGCUGGUAGAUCAAAAGGGGCACAUGAACAAAAAUUGAAUACACCUUACAACAACAUAACUUACAGUUUAACCAGCCUUACAGUACAAUUAGCUGUGACUUUGACAGACUUAAAUUGGGAGGGGGGAACAGUAAAAAGAAAUCAACACUGUCAUCAACACUUUCUGACUGGGACUCAGUCAGUCUUUGCCUCAUUUCUUCCUUCAACCUCUAUAUCAAAACUUCCUUUCUCAAUUUGUUGUUCAUCUUUGAACAAACCCAAUUAGAUGUUAACCGAGCCACCAUCAGACAGUUUUUUCAAAACUUUUUUUCAUUAUUAGAGAACUUAACUCAUUUUCUCCCAGAAACGUAUAAAUACGUUCUAUUUUUUAAUGCUUCAUUGUCCCAAAAACGUAUUUAUUUUUCUUUUGCGUUUUUAAAAAAAAUUUUUUACAAGAAGAAUCUAUAGCUUACGAUCUAUCUGAGAAACAAAAAACAAGGCUCCAAACCCAUUUUAAAGCAAUAAAACUGGCCACUGGAGGGCAGUAGCGCAUUUUGUAAAGACCCGCAACCCGAUUCAACAGCAUUGAAAGGCCUGGCAGCACGGUCGGAGCGCCUGCGGCAGUAUGCCAGGCGGCGGACGACCGAACAAAACAACCGAGAGGACGCCUGGAAUGCCAGGCACUGGACGACGGAGCAAAACAACUGAGACCACCGUGCAGCGGGCUCGCCAAGCAGACUCCGCAGAGAUUAAAAAAUAAUCCAUCUUUGUGAGACGGAUAACGAUGAGGGAAAAGUUUACACGGCAGACGCGGCGACAACGGCGUCAUCUCGGCGACAACAGGCCUCAUCUCUCAGUAGUCAUGUGUAAAUAAAUUGUUACUUUGCAAUCAAAAGCUCUAUUUGUCUUGUUCAUUAUGAUAUUUUGUAAAAGGAAAGCAUUAUUCAGAGGUUUGGGAUGUAACUAAUGCAAAAAAUAGCUGUGUUAAAGUCAAGUUAUGUUUAAAAUGUAUGCGUUUACAAAAAGCUUUUUUUCUCCGUUUUUUCAUCAGAAACUGGAAAAUUGCUCAAACUAAGCUAUUUUCUAAUGUUGAUUUCUAAAGAAUGGAAAAAGAUAUGAACUUACUUUUUUUUCUGCUGAAAGAAGAGAGUCUAAUCUUUCUUUGGUGGGUUCCAUGUUUAUAUACCAAUAGAACAGAAUUUUCUGUGGGCCUUGCAAAAUCAGUCAAAAUCCAGAAAAACGGCCGGGAGCGAAGGGCCUUGCUCUGGUGAAAAUGGCUGCGAGUGAAUGAGUUAAAGAUGUGUACCUUUCUAGAUAAUGUUGUGAAGAGAAAUAUGGUUGCCUAUAGAGAGUAGAGACACACGGAUCGAAAUAGCCUUGGGGUGGGGGGUGAUUCAUUUUUAAAGUAGAAAAUAAUAUAAGAGAAAAUUACAAAUUAUUAUUUUUAAAAAUCCCCACAAUAAACCUGUUGUAAGAAUGUUCACUGCAGUAUUUGCUCAAACACGGUUCAAUAGGGUAACACUAGCCUGGUACACCAGACUCACCUUGUUCCAGCUAUUGAGUCUGGCCACCAUUCAGCGGAUAGCAUUCAGCGAAUUUCCAGGGCGGAGCAAGCCACAGCAAACAGACAGCGGAGUGGAACAAUCAGCAACGGGUGGACGUGACAUUAGUAAAGCAACGAGAGCAGGACGAGGGACUUGCGCGCCGAAGUAAACAUAUGAGGAGAGCGGAGUUUAUUCAACAUGGCUAGUGUGAGACAGACUGUUGUCAAUGACUCGUGUCGAUGUGUUUUCGGUCAUUUAAAACUGAUUUUACCGUGGAUUGGAACAUAUUCUCGGCUCUCCUGUUCGCCAUCUGUGUUGUUUUGGAGAUGACGUCCGACGCUGAAGAGUGACGUUGCUCGUUCAAAACACGUCAUGCAAAUAAACGAAUCUGAUUGGACGGUUGAUUUUGUAAGUGUUCGAGAGGCCGUUAAUGGGCUGGGUCUCAGAAUAUUCUCACAGUGUUUGAAAAAUACAGGGAGAACAGUCUGGCCGUGCCAGGCAAGGGUAACACUGUUUUCAACCACCAGAUGUCCUCAGACCCCUCACUACACACCCAGAUCACAGAGGAAGCAAGGGGAGGAGGGGGCUUGUUAUGCGCCGAUUGAGCGGCACACAGACGACUUUUUAAAAAACAUUUUUUUUAAAAUGUGUUUUCGGUGUUCAAGUAAAGUACGCGGUGGCGUGCCUGCGCAGUCGGCCAGCACACACAUACAGUGGGGCAAAUAAGUAUUUAGUCAACCACUAACGGAGGCCAAAUGUUUUCUGUAACUCUUCACAAGCUUUUCACACACUGUUGCUGGUAUUUUGGCCCAUUCCUCCAUGCAGAUCUCUUCUAGAGCAGUGAUGUUUUGGGGCUGUCGUUGGGCAACACGGACUUUCAACUCCCUCCACAGAUUUUCUAUGGGAUUGAGAUUUGGAGACUGGCUAGGCCACUCCAGGACCUUGAAAUGCUUCUUACGAAGCCACUCCUUUGUUGCCCUGGCUGUGUGUUUGGGAUCAUUGUAAUGCUGAAAGACCCAGACGCGUCUCAUCUUCAAUGCCCUUGCUGAUCCAAGGAGAUUUUCACUCAAAAUCUCUCAAUACAUGGCCCCAUUCAUUCUUUUCUUUACACAGACCAGUCGUCCUGGUCACUUUGCAGAAAAACAGCCCCAAAGCAUGAUGUUUCCACCCCCAUGCUUCACAGUGGGUAUGGUGUUCUUCGGAUGCAAUUCAGUAUUCUAUCUCCUCCAAACACGAGAACCUGUGUUUCUACCAAAAAGUUCUAUUUUAGUUUCAUCUGACCAUAACACA